UAUAAAUUUAAGACAUGUGUAUUUAAUCCUAGCACUGUAAUGUGUGCAAGUUAUCCACGAGAGUCACAAAUCAUCUAGUGUAAACAUAAGUUAAUCACUGAAGUCAUCUGCGUGUUUAUGUUAAUAUUAAAUAACUUGAGCAAAUAUUUUGCAAUACGAGAUACCCGACACAAUGGAUAUACAAAUUCCGUGUUCAAUCUAAUGAAUAACCCAUUGAGAUGUAAACUUCAUAACACAGUUAACAGCGAGCAUUCAGCUUGUUUGGUUAUAAGGUGAAUGAGUUGAAUUAUAUUUCAGGAUACUUGUUACAUGCACUGGAACGGCAGUAAAUGCGACUGUUUGUGGUAUAACACAAAUAAAUGCAAAUACAGAAAUCUGCUGCGGAAGCCUUCCUCAUGGAAGGUUCAGAGGCGGACACGAGUUUGGAUGUUUUCAAGAGAAAAUUUUCAACAAAACUGAAAAAGUUGCUUGUGGCGAUGGACUGGAACUCAUAACCAGUGUGGAAGAGAUAUACACGAAAGACUUCAUCUGUUGUUUUGGCCAGUUUCAUAUAAAGGAGAAUGAUGACGGAUGCUGUCGUGGUGAUAAGGAGCGGUUUUACAAACGCAGAUUGCAAGAGUGUUGCAAUGGUGUCGUGGUCGAUCGCAAGGUCGGUACGGCUCAGGUGUGUCGCGGAACAGAACUUGUGGAUAGAAAUGCGAGAAUCUAUAGAGUACGUCAAUGCACAGGACCAAACGGACAAAAAACAGAAUAUGACCCAAGCAGUUAUGUUUGCUGCACACAAACCGGUCUUAUAAUAGCAAAACCGGGACCAGGGCAAUACUUCUUUCACGAUGAUGGCGUAUAUAAUUCUUAUAUAAUGCAACUGAUACGUCUAAAGAAUGGCUGUAACGUUGUUGUCCAGCAAGGCAUCAAAUUAUGUGGGAGUGGUAAGCAUUAUUAAACGUAGGGCUGAGGCAGGAGUUUGGUAUCUGAGGGGUAAAGCUUCUCGGGAAGGGGAGGCAACUUUGAACGUUGUUCUAAAAUGAAGUAUAUGUGG